rnacentral:rRNA from 1 species
UACGUAGGGUGCGAGCGUUAAUCGGAAUUACUGGGCGUAAAGCGUGCGCAGGCGGUUACUUAAGUCAGGGGUGAAAGCCCUGGGCUUAACCUAGGAAUUGCGCUUGAGACUGGGUAGCUUUGAGUGUGGCAGAGGGAGGUGGAAUUCCACGUGUAGCAGUGAAAUGCGUAGAGAUGUGGAGGAACACCGAUGGCGAAGGCAGCCUCCUGGGCCAGCACUGACGCUCAUGCACGAAAGCGUGGGGAGCAAACAGG